CUACGGGCGGCUCCAGUGAGGAAUAUUGCACAAUGGGGGAAACCCUGAUGCAGCAACGCCGCGUGGAGGAUGACGCAUUUCGGUGUGUAAACUCCUUUUAUGAGUCAAGAAAAUGACGGUAGCUCAUGAAUAAGCACCGGCUAACUCCGUGCCAGCAGCCGCGGUAAUACGGAGGGUGCAAGCGUUACUCGGAAUCACUGGGCGUAAAGGACGCGUAGGCGGGAUGUCAAGUCAGGUGUGAAAUCCUAUGGCUCAACCAUAGAACUGCACUUGAAACUGGCAACCUAGAGUAUGGGAGGGGGAGAUGGAAUUAGUGGUGUAGGGGUAAAAUCCGUAGAUAUCACUAGGAAUACCGAAAGCGAAGGCGAUCUCCUGGAACAUUACUGACGCUAAGGCGUGAAAGCGUGGGGAGCAAACAGGAUUAGAUACCCCCGUAGUC
rnacentral:rRNA from 1 species